GAAAACCAGGCCCCGAGGCUCUGGGUUAGAGCACAACUUUGGAUGCCAGCUCUUGUUCGUUAGUGGUGAGAGCUGACCACAAAAGGCUCACCAUGGAGCUUGGGCUAAGUUGGGUUUUCCUGUUUGCAAUUCUGAAAGGUGUUCAGGGUGAGCCGCAGCUGGUAGAAUCCGGUGGAGGCUUGGUGCAGCCUGGGGGCUCCCUGAGACUCUCCUGCGUGGCCUCGGGAUUCACCUUCAGUAACUCCUGGAUGGACUGGAUCCGCCAGGCUCCAGGGAAGGGGCUGGAAUGGAUCUCAGAGAUCAAGGGUGAUAGUAGUACCAUAAACUACAUAGACUCCGUGAAGGGUCGAUUCACCAUCUCCAGAGACAAUGGCAAGAACACGCUGUAUCUGCAGAUGAGCAGCCUGAGACCCGAGGACACCGCUGUGUAUUAUUGUGGAGCACAGUGA